rnacentral:lncRNA from 1 species
AAUGAACGGAGCGUUCAUAUAAACUCCGACCCGAGUCGUAAAACGUGUAUUGAUAUAAUUAUAUUGUUGAGCCUUAAGGGCCAACGAAAUAGAGGGCAAUUACCCUCUCAACAUAAUCUUCGGUAGAAGACUCAGUUGCCAACCGCAACCACCGUCCCCCGCUACAAGAGCGGGCCACGGGAACCCGAUCGCUGCCGCCGGAGCCAACGCAACGCAUACCGCAGCUCGGACCAAAAACGACAUAAAGUUAAUUGGCGCCCAACGGGAUUUAGGAUCCACGUCCCCAAGAAAAAUAACAUGUAAGUGACUGUUCGGAAAANAUACAUGGCGGAAAAAGACCGUGAAAAAACUUCGUUUUCAAUUAACGGAGGGAAAUACGAGUUUUGCCGGUUACCCUUUGGACUAAAGAAUGCUGGGAGCAUUUUCCAAAGGGCAAUCGACGAUGUUCUACGAGAACAAAUUGGGAAAAUAUGUUAUGUCUAUGUAGAUGAUGUAAUAAUUUUUUCCGAAAACGAAAAUGAUCACGUUAAACACAUCGACACAGUGCUAAAACGCCUCUGCGAUGCAAACAUGAGAGUGGCCCCAGAAAAGACAAAGUUCUUUAAAGAAAGCGUAGAGUUCUUAGGCUUCAUAGUUACCAGGGGAGGAGCCAAGACCGACCCAGAAAAAGUAAGGGCAAUAAGGGAAUACACUGAACCCAAAACACUGUUCAGCCUCAGGUCCUUCCUCGGGCUGGCCAGCUAUUACAGGAGCUUUGUCAGAGAUUUCGCGACAAUAGCGAGACCCUUAACCGCAUUACUCAAAGGAGAAAAUGGCACAGUCAGCAAACACAUGUCCAAGAAAGUUGCGAUUCAGUUCGGUGAAACGCAACGCAACGCAUUCGACCGUCUGCGAAACAUUUUGGCGUCAGAAGACGUCAUCCUUACGUACCCUGAUUUCAAACUACCCUUUGAUCUAACUACCGAUGCCUCAGCAAGCGGCAUUGGGGCGGUCCUGUCCCAAAACGGCAGGCCAAUCACAAUGAUCUCGCAAACACUAAAAGAUUGUGAAGUAAACUACGCCACAAACGAAAGGGAAUUGUUGGCUAUUGUAUGGGCUAUAGGGAAGUUACAAAAUUACUUAUACGGUACCAAGGAAGUAAGAAUCUUUACCGAUCACCAGCCCUUAACAUUUGCUGUGUCCGAUAGGAACACAAAUGCCAAAAUCAAAGGGUGGAAAGCCUUUAUAGAGGAACAUAACGCUAAGGUGUUCUACAAACCGGGUAAGGAAAACUUCGUGGCCGACGCCUUGUCCAGACAAAACAUUAAUAACCUACACGAAGAGCCUCAGUCCGAUGCUGCCACGGUGCACAGCGAGCGCUCUCUGUCUUACACAGUGGAAACCACGGAUAAGCCCCUCAACUGUUUCAGAAACCAAAUAAUUAUAGAAGAAGCUAGCCAGCCUCUACGGC